AUUGAACGCUGGCGGCAUGCUUUACACAUGCAAGUCGAACCGUAACAGGCCUUCGGGUGCUGACGAGUGGCGAACGGGUGAGUAAUGCAUCGGAACGUACCCAGAGGUGGGGGAUAACGCAGCGAAAGCUGUGCUAAUACCGCAUGUGAUCUGAGGAUGAAAGCGGGGGACCGAGCAGCAAUGUUUGGCCUCGCGCCUUUGGAGCGGCCGAUGUCGGAUUAGCUAGUUGGUGGGGUAAAGGCCUACCAAGGCGACGAUCCGUAGCUGGUCUGAGAGGACGACCAGCCACACUGGGACUGAGACACGGCCCAGACUCCUACGGGAGGCAGCAGUGGGGAAUUUUGGACAAUGGGCGCAAGCCUGAUCCAGCAAUGCCGCGUGCGGGAAGAAGGCCUUCGGGUUGUAAACCGCUUUUGGCAGGAACGAAACGGUGUCCGCUAAUACCGGGCGCUAAUGACGGUACCUGCAGAAUAAGCACCGGCUAACUACGUG
rnacentral:rRNA from 1 species